UUGAGUUUCAGAACUCUCCAACCCUGUGUAAACUGAAGUCUGGUUGCUCAGGCAGGCGAUCCCCGGGGGGGAUCGCAGCCUCGCUUGAGGUGCCUGCCGGAGGAUACCUAAACUCGUUUUUUAUCUGUAAAUUUCUGAGUUAAAAAAAAAAUGAAUCA
rnacentral:misc_RNA from 1 species